GGGUUGUGAGGUUAAGCGACUAAGCGUACACGGUGGAUGCCCUGGCAGUCAGAGGCGAUGAAGGACGUGCUAAUCUGCGAUAAGCGUCGGUAAGGUGAUAUGAACCGUUGUAACCGGCGAUUUCCGAAUGGGGAAACCC
rnacentral:rRNA from 1 species